AACGAACGCUGGCGGCAGGCCUAACACAUGCAAGUCGAGCGAAGCCUUCGGGCUUAGCGGCGGACGGGUGAGUAACGCGUGGGAACGUGCCCUUUGGUACGGAAUAGCCGCGGGAAACUGGGAGUAAUACCGUAUGUGGUCGAGAGACGAAAGAUUUAUCGCCAAAGGAUCGGCCCGCGUUGGAUUAGGUAAUUGGUGGGGUAAUGGCCUACCAAGCCGACGAUCCAUAGCGGGUUUGAGAGGAUGAUCAGCCACACUGGGACUGAGACACGGCCCAGACUCCUACGGGAGGCAGCAGUGGGGAAUCUUAGACAAUGGGGGAAACCCUGAUCUAGCCAUGCCGCGUGAUCGAUGAGGGCCUUAGGGUUGUAAAGAUCUUUCAGUGGGGAAGAUAAUGACUGUACCCACAGAAGAAGCCCCGGCUAACUCCGUGCCAGCAGCCGCCGUAACAC
rnacentral:rRNA from 1 species